rnacentral:lncRNA from 1 species
CGAUCGAUUCAAUGUUGCAUAACCGAGAGGCCCCUUAUAAGAGUUCGCAGGUUUAUUCUUAUACAACCACUUGCAGUCAAAAACAUUGACAUAACUACCUCAGUAUGGUUUCCUCCAUUGAUCACAAUGCAAGCAUCCUUAUAUGACAUAGGUUGUCUGCAUAAUGCCAUACAUAGCAGAUAAAUAUUGUGAGAAAUAGUUCAGACUCCAUAGAGUUAGUUUCUUGUACUUUACUUUAGUUGAU